rnacentral:rRNA from 1 species
GAGACGACGCUGGCGGCGUAGCUUAAUACAUGCAAGUCAACUUGACUUUAGAUAGCAAUAUCGAAAAGUAGGGUGGCGCACGGGUGCGUAACGCGUAGGUAAUCUGCCCUGAGGUCUGACAUAACCCGUCGAAAGGCGGGCUAACAUCAGAUGAUAUAUAAUCACGACAUCGUGGAAAUAUCAAAUCUUCGGAGCCUUGGGAUGAGCCUGCGUCUGAUUAGGUAGUUGGCGGAGUAAUAGCCCACCAAGCCUACGAUCAGUAGCUGGUCUGAGAGGAUGAUCAGCCACACUGGAACUGAGACACGGUCCAGACUCCUACGGGAGGCAGCAGUAAGGAAUAUUGCUCAAUGGGGGAAACCCUGAAGCAGCAACGCCGCGUGAAGGAUGAAAUACUUUGUAUGUAAACUUCUGUAAGAUGGGAAAAAUAUUCUCCUCGGGAGAAUUGAUUGUACCAUCAGAGUAAGCCCCGGCUAACUACGUG